rnacentral:misc_RNA from 1 species
UUGUACAACAGAGGGCUCUUAAGGGCGGUCGGCUAAUCUCCCAGAGGGGAGGUGAUGCCCAUGGAUAUGUAUCAGACAUUAUCAUUAAUGGUGAUGUUUGGCACGCUCGUCGUGUUGAUCAUGUCCCAAAAGAAAUAGACCGCCCCCACCAAGGAUAACGGUCUAUUUAUUCAGACUUUCCUGAAAAGCCUUCCGCUCUUAAAGCGGCUGUUGUACAGAAGGAGCUGUAUCAAAAGC